UACGGAGGGAGCUAGCGUUGUUCGGAAUUACUAGGCGUAAAGCGCACGUAGGCGGCGAUUCAAGUCAGAGGUGAAAGCCCGGGGGCUCAACCCCGGAACUGCCUUUGAAACUAGAUUGCUAGAAUCCUGGAGAGGUGAGUGGAAUUCCGAGUGUAGAGGUGAAAUUCGUAGAUAUUCGCAAGAACACCAGUGGCGAAGGCGGCUCACUGGCCCGGUACUGACGCUGAGGUGCGAAAGCGUGGGGAGCAAACAGGGAUUAAGAAACCCU
rnacentral:rRNA from 1 species